rnacentral:rRNA from 1 species
UACAGAGGAGCCAAGCGUUGUCCGGAUUGACUGGGCGUAAAGCGCACGCAGGCGGUUGCGCGCGUGGGGUGUGAAAUCUGGCCGCUUAACGGCCAGGCGCCAUCCCAUACGGCGCGACUGGAGUGAUGCAGAGGUCGAUGGAAUUGCCGGUGUAGUGGUGAAAUGCGUAGAGAUCGGCAGGAACACCCAGGGGGAAACCAGUCGACUGGGCAUCUACUGACGCUGAGGAGCGAAAGCGUGGGGAGCGAACAGG